rnacentral:lncRNA from 1 species
GCAGGGUUUCGUUUCUUGUUUCUAACAGCAAACGACUCAGCAUUAAGUUACAAAUCUCUGCAGCAGCUCACAAAGCAAGCCCUCAGACGAACUGCUAAGGAGAGACUCUGUCCCUCACAUGCUGUGCUACACUUAGCUUGGAUCUCUAACGAUAUUUUCUUCGUCUUCGGGAUCCUUCUCCGCCUUCAUAACGCUUGGAAAGUAUCUUCCUUUGCUGCGCAACACUUGAGGGCAGCCCCAAGUCAGCAAGUCAGAAAAAAAAGGAGACCUGGAAAGCUGAAGCAGAAAAGGCUACAAGAAAUAUUUGACAACUCUUCAAAGUAAUUUUUGGAUGCUUCAUGUCAUAUUUGAUAUCAGCCAAGCAGCUGAACAGAGGGAUACAUUCCGAGAUACUCACUGGCUGUCUGAUAGUACCAACUCCUAAGUGUCCCAUGUUCUGCCUAUACAUACAUACCUCUGGUGACGUUUAAGUUGUACAUUAGGUACAGUAAGAAAUUAAUAACAAUAACUACUAAUAAAAUAUAACAAUUUUAACAUAAUACAAAGCCAUAUAAAAGUGUUGUCUCAAAAUAUGUUACUAUACUAUACUUACGCUUCUU